GACGAACGCUGGCGGCGUGCUUAACACAUGCCAGUCGAACGGAAAGGCCCCUUUGGGGGUCCUCGAGUGGCGAACGGGUGAGUAACACGUGAGUAACCUGCCCUUGACUUCGGGAUAACUUCAGGAAACUGGGGCUAAUACCGGAUAGGAAUCCUUGCUGCAUGGUGGGGGUUGGAAAGCUUCGGCGGUUUUGGAUGGACUCGCGGCUUAUCAGCUUGUUGGUGGGGUAGUGGCCUACCAAGGCUUUGACGGGUAGCCGGCCUGAGAGGGCGACCGGCCACAUUGGGACUGAGAGACGGCCCAGACUCCUACGGGAGGCAGCAGUGGGGAAUAUUGCACAAUGGGCGGAAGCCGGAUGCAGCAACGCCGCGGGCGGGAUGACGGCCUUCGGGUUGUAAACCGCUUUCAGCAGGGGCGAAGCUUGUGGUGACGGUACCUGCAGAAGAAGCACCGGCUAACUACGUG
rnacentral:rRNA from 1 species